rnacentral:lncRNA from 1 species
AAAAUGUAAUUUGUCCUCAUAUUCCACAAACAAAUAAAUUCAAUCAAUCGUAUUUAAUAAAGCCCUUUUUACAUCAGUAACUGUGACAAAGUGCAAUACAGACAGACCCCCUCUACUUGAAAUGGAUUCAGGUUGGCUGUCUAUCAUUGGGAGUCUUUCAAUAAGACACUUUCAAAAGUCAGAAGCAGAGAAAUCAAGAGGUGGUCAUGUCCUUGCGGUAGAAAAGCGAACUGAAAGUGAAAUAGCUAACCAGAAGAAGAGACGCCACGAAGGAGACCUUCAACCCUGGAGAGAUUGUCAGGCGAAACGACUGUGCAACAGAGUGGGAGUCUGCGUCCAGGUUGAACAUGGCGGGAUGGUGACUGACAGUGCCAUGGAUACAUGGGAUGCCAGCAUGCAACAGCAGAGUGUCCCAAACAGCAACAGCGGUGUCGGCAUCAACCACCCAGCCUCUAACAUGGUCUAUGCAGUCCAUGCAGUCCAAGGCAGCCAACGUUGUAAUCGGUGCCUGGCAGGGGAGCCUGGGCACAUUAACCACAUCAUGGGGUAUUGAUUGGUUAUCGUCAUGAUCAGAGAUUGUUUGAAGAACUGAAGGGUCCUUGAGGAUGAAGAGAUUUGAUUGAUUGAUUGAUUGAUUGCUUGAUCAAGCCAUUGUGUAUGUGGCUGUGAACGUUUUAUCAGUGUGCCUUGCCUUUUCUUGCUUUUAACCACAAACACUGUAUUGCUUCAUGGAGAGCCUCACAUGUUUACACUACCUAACACUGGUAUGGGUAAAAUGGCUACUAACCAGACAGUAGACAUAAUAAUUUCAUACCGUCUUACUAACAUUCUGUUUGAAUGGAAAGAUAACCACUACAGUGUAGUCUACAUACAACCAUAAGGAAUGAGCCAUCAAGCCACCAUUAAUACUGUAACUUUACAAUGUAAUGUGGAUACUCAUUUAAAGUCAAUGGAUCUAUUAAAAAAAAUGACUUAUUGUCCCAGUAUCAAGACUGCUUCUAAAGCUGCCAGGAAAUAUACAUGUAAAUAAUAAUAAUAUUGAUAAGUAAAAACUUUUAAAGUUAUAUCAUUAUUAACCUUUUUGAAAUGGAUAAUCCUGUCUGCAAAUAUAUUUUUGUGAAAUACAUAUUUGAUAUAUAUUUUUCUAAAAUGUAAUUGGCUGAAUAUAAAAUAAGAAGUUUGUAACAAUGUUUGUGCUAAUUGUUUAAUUUUGGAUAGUGUCCUGAAUUUAGUGUUAAUCUCAUGAACAUUUUCAGCCAGUUUUCAAUAGUUUGAUCUACACUUGAAAUGUAGGGCUGUUUGACAAUGAUUUGUCUAUUUCCCACUAGAUUUGGUUUUGUGUUGUCUUACAAUGAUUUGAAGCCAGUUUCCACCUUGCCAAGCAGUGAUUUUUAUGCAAGGAAUAGACAAUAGUUGAUGCUGUUAAAUUUCAGGUUAUGACUCAAUGUAAUAGUUUAUUUUUAGUACAAGAAAAGCAACUUUCAAUAAAGUAUGAUUUGAUGAACAAUGUGUGGACAUUUAGAUGUGUUUUUGUGACUACUGUUUCUUCAUUGUUAUUCAAUACCUUUUUUUAUAUGAAGCUUAUUUCCACAUGCCAUCUAUUCAUGGGCUUCUGCUGCCUGCUGUACAUUGUGUGGAUCUUUACC